UACGUAGGUGGCAAGCGUUGUCCGGAAUUAUUGGGCGUAAAGCGCGCGCAGGCGGAUGCGUAAGUCUAUCUUAAAAGUGCGGGGCUUAACCCCGUGAGGGGAUGGAAACUGGGCAUCUAGAGUAUCGGAGAGGAAAGCGGAAUUCCUAGUGUAGCGGUGAAAUGCGUAGAUAUUAGGAAGAACACCAGUGGCGAAGGCGGCUUUCUGGACGACAACUGACGCUGAGGCGCGAAAGCCAGGGGAGCGAACGGG
rnacentral:rRNA from 1 species